AACUUGCUGGCUGGAGUGCAAUGGCGUGAUUUUGGCUCACUGCAACCUCUGUCUCCCGGGUUCAAGCGAUUCUCCACCAUCAGCCUCUUGAAUAGCUGGAAUUACAGGAAUUAUCAGGAGGAUAUGCUGCUAAAUUUCAUAUGGCUGAACAACUUGAAUUUUGAAGGGAGGAGGAAUAAAGCAUGAAGUAUAUGCCACACUUAGCUGAGUGCUUAUCGAUCUCCACAAUGUCAGUCUGCUACCACUGCUAGCCUGCCUGUGUAUUCCAAGGUAGGCAGUCUCGUAAUUUCAUGUAAAAUGUACUCCGAGAAACUUGCACAACAGUCAUAGAUGCAAAAGAAAGACAUUGAUUCAAGUAUUUUAAGAGUUCCAUUCUAAGGAAUCAAGUAGAUAUUCCCC
rnacentral:lncRNA from 13 species